AGCAGCCGCGGUAAUUCCAGCUCCAAUAGCGUAUAUUAAAGUUGUUGCAGUUAAAAAGCUCGUAGUUGAAUUUCGGGAUUGGCGCAUCGGUCGUGCCUCACGGGGUAUGAACUGGUGCAGUCAAUUUCUCACCUUCUGGAGAACCGCGAUGUCCUUAAUUGGAUGCCGCGGGGAACCAGGACCUUUACUUUGAAAAAUUAGAGUGUUUAAAGCAGGCAUUUUUGCUUGAAUACAUUAGCAUGGAAUAAUAAAAUAGGACGGCAUGGUUCUAUUUUGUUGGUUUCUAGGACCACCGUAAUGAUUAAUAGGGAUAGUUGGGGGCAUUAGUAUUCAAUUGUCAGAGGUGAAAUUCUUGGAUUUAUUGAAGACUAACUACUGCGAAAGCAUUUGCCAAGGAUGUUUUCAUUAAUCAAGAACGAAAGUUAGGGGAUCGAAGACGAUCAGAUACCGUCGUAGUCUUAACCAUAAACUAUGCCGACUAGGAAUCAGA
rnacentral:rRNA from 1 species